CUCUUGCAAGAGAGGAAGCUCCAAGAAGUCCGACCAGAGGGCCGAAUUUGCUCUUGUCCGAGUUUUUCUUUCAACUGUUUGUCUCUCUGAAGCUUUCGUUCUGCCGGAAAUUUUUGGUUUCUAGUUUUGGGGGAGAGAAACUUCACCAGAAACAUAACAUCAUAUGAAUCAACUGCACUUGUCUCGGGUGGUGGAUAGAGAAUCUGGAGGAAUGUCAGACUUGUACAUGUGUGAGAAUUGAAGGAUCGGUGGCAGCACAAGACGAAGAGAAAGCUUGAAUGGCUUCAGCACAGCCACCCUAUGCUUGCGAAGAGAAAUAAAUCAUGAAUGUAUUUGAUUUUGAUAUCAUUUCUUGAUUGGUAGAGAUGUGUCAAUGAUUGUGAUGGAAAAAAGUUCUUUGC